AUAAUGGGUCAGCGACUUAUAUUCUGUAGCAAGGUUAACCGAAUAGGGGAGCCGAAGGGAAACCGAGUCUUAACUGGGCGUUAAGUUGCAGGGUAUAGACCCGAAACCCGGUGAUCUAGCCAUGGGCAGGUUGAAGGUUGGGUAACACUAACUGGAGGACCGAACCGACUAAUGUUGAAAAAUUAGCGGAUGACUUGUGGCUGGGGGUGAAAGGCCAAUCAAACCGGGAGAUAGCUGGUUCUCCCCGAAAGCUAUUUAGGUAGCGCCUCGUGAAUUCAUCUCCGGGGGUAGAGCACUGUUUCGGCAAGGGGGUCAUCCCGACUUACCAACCCGAUGCAAACUGCGAAUACCGGAGAAUGUUAUCACGGGAGACACACGGCGGGUGCUAACGUCCGUCGUGAAGAGGGAAACAACCCAGACCGCCAGCUAAGGUCCCAAAGUCAUGGUUAAGUGGGAAACGAUGUGGGAAGGCCCAGACAGCCAGGAUGUUGGCUUAGAAGCAGCCAUCAUUUAAAGAAAGCGUAAUAGCUCACUGGUCGAGUCGGCCUGCGCGGAAGAUGUAACGGGGCUAAACCAUGCACCGAAGCUGCGGCAGCGACGCUGAUGCGUUGUUGGGUAGGGGAGCGUUCUGUAAGCCUGCGAAGGUGUGCUGUGAGGCAUGCUGGAGGUAUCAGAAGUGCGAAUGCUGACAUAAGUAACGAUAAAGCGGGUGAAAAGCCCGCUCGCCGGAAGACCAAGGGUUCCUGUCCAACGUUAAUCGGGGCAGGGUGAGUCGACCCCUAAGGCGAGGCCGAAAGGCGUAGUCGAUGGGAAACAGGUUAAUAUUCCUGUACUUGGUGUUACUGCGAAGGGGGGACGGAGAAGGCUAUGUUGGCCGGGCGACGGUUGUCCCGGUUUAAGCGUGUAGGCUGGUUUUCCAGGCAAAUCCGGAAAAUCAAGGCUGAGGCGUGAUGACGAGGCACUACGGUGCUGAAGCAACAAAUGCCCUGCUUCCAGGAAAAGCCUCUAAGCAUCAGGUAACAUCAAAUCGUACCCCAAACCGACACAGGUGGUCAGGUAGAGAAUACCAAGGCGCUUGAGAGAACUCGGGUGAAGGAACUAGGCAAAAUGGUGCCGUAACUUCGGGAGAAGGCACGCUGAUAUGUAGGUGAAGCGACUUGCUCGUGGAGCUGAAAUCAGUCGAAGAUACCAGCUGGCUGCAACUGUUUAUUAAAAACACAGCACUGUGCAAACACGAAAGUGGACGUAUACGGUGUGACGCCUGCCCGGUGCCGGAAGGUUAAUUGAUGGGGUUAGCGCAAGCGAAGCUCUUGAUCGAAGCCCCGGUAAACGGCGGCCGUAACUAUAACGGUCCUAAGGUAGCGAAAUUCCUUGUCGGGUAAGUUCCGACCUGCACGAAUGGCGUAAUGAUGGCCAGGCUGUCUCCACCCGAGACUCAGUGAAAUUGAACUCGCUGUGAAGAUGCAGUGUACCCGCGGCAAGACGGAAAGACCCCGUGAACCUUUACUAUAGCUUGACACUGAACAUUGAGCCUUGAUGUGUAGGAUAGGUGGGAGGCUUUGAAGUGUGGACGCCAGUCUGCAUGGAGCCGACCUUGAAAU
rnacentral:rRNA from 1 species